UGGAGGGGAGCGCGGAUGCGGUUCCCGGGGUUUUUUUUCCCCCCUCCCUUUCUUUUUUUUUUUUUUUUAUGAAUGAAGGGCAGCGGCAGCUGCGCAUGCACCGCGCCCCCCGCCCGGGGCUGGAGCACCAUCAUUUUGUCCAUGUUUGGGAAAUUUCCAUUACUGCUGGGGGAAAGGGACUUCUCCUGAGUGAAGACUGUGGGACCUGACUCGAAGCAAGACGAGAAGCAAAGCCUCUGUGUGAACGUCGCAGUAUAGGAAGAAAAGUGUACAAAGCAAGGGAAAGAAAUCAGGCUGGUUGCAACUCAGGAUCAAACCCUUUAUAAUGCUGGAUGGAGGGGGGCUGUUUCCUCAUCCUAGUGCUUUUCCAGAGUCCAUAGUGUGUGUUCCUGCAGGAACUCUCAGCCCUUGCCCUGCCCAGAACUUUGGUUUUCAGAUUUGUCACCUUGCAAAGCCGUGGUUCUGCUGAGACCCUCUGCUCCCCUGACAGCAGCAGGAUAUGGAAGGAUUUGAGCUGAGAUCUCUGAGCAGCCACAACCCCCUGCUCUAACCCCUCAUUUCCACCCCAGACACAGCUCCCUCAGCCUUACAUUUCCUCCAGGAAUCCCUGGCUGUGUGGCCCCCGUUUCAGCAGAGAAUUCCUGCAGCCUCAGCGUUUGAACUGGCCGAAUCCCUGCGGGGCCGGGGCCAGCAGCUCUGUCGCUGGCCAGAACCCAUCGUCCCUUCAGCAGUGAUGUGGUUCUGUUCCAGGUCUGUACAGAGAUUUCCUUCCAUGGAUUAAUGAGAUGAAAGUGGGAAAAGGAGACUUUUUGUAGAAAUGAGCAUGAGCUUCAUCUUGAAGAAUCUGCAGUGUCCAGGAGACUGUGGUCACAGUCCGUAUUUAAGCAGAUGCUGUGCCAAAACCUGAAGGCAUCACCAGUCCAAUAAAAGAAAGAUGCUGUGGAUGUUGGAGGGUGAGAAGUGCCAUCACAGAAGUGCCAUCGCAGAUGUGGCAUCAGGAGAUGCCACAGGUGGGGGCCAGAGUCCCACAGGUGCAUUCAUGUUUUUUGCCUAGAAACUACAUUUAAAAUCUGCCAUGAAUUCAUUCUGUCUUUCAUACACAGAGUUCUGUAGUGCUUAGAGAGAAGUGGAUUUAUGAACAGAAAAAGACAUGGCACAGAAUAAAUCUAGAUACAGGAAAUUGCUUUAAAUGUCAUGUAUUCCCACAGCUGUAUUAUGGAAAAUAUUUUAUAGUCACUGUUUAUAUGUGUUUAUAGAUUGUAAAAAUGUCUCUUUAGCACUGAGUUGUGCUACUGGUGCGUUGGGAUGGAGCCAGGGCCACACUGUGGGUUUGCUGUGGGGCUUGGAGGGCCCUGGGAGAUACUGAGGGUGGCAACUCUGCAACAGACAUGCUCACACACAUGCACAUGUACAGAGAACCUCUAAACAUUUGUCUCUAAACCCUUUAGUAUUUUAAAAAGUCUGCAAAUGCAGCUGCAAGAAGGGGAAACCACUCCUGGCAAUGGAUCCCAGAUGCCUGCAGAGGAUAAAAACCUCUGGAAGCUGGAUUGCUGAAAGCUGAACCCCUGGAGAUAAAGCCUGUGUGGCUGCUGCUGAAAGCACCCCCAGCCACUGCACCGACUCUGCUUCGUACAGACUUCAGCCCUUGCUCUCAGAUGCCCCCUUUGACACAGAAUGGGAUUUUGGGAAGUGCUUUCUGGAGUGCCAACACAGGCCAGCUCCCACCUAUUGCCAUGAGGUUGGAGAUGCAGCCUCAGAAGCUCUGUGGCUCCUGGUGGUUUCCAAAGCAGGUGAUGGACCUGCCAAAUACAGACUCAAAAUCUUUAUUUUUAACACCAUGGUCAGGUGCAAUUAAGUAUUUCUUAGAGAGUCUGGUCCCUAAAUUAAUUUUUCUCCCAAGACAUCAUACUUUUCAUGCAGCAGUUCAGUUUUCCUUGCUAACUGCCAGCCUUCUCUGAAGGAAAGCCCCCAAGUCACACAGGGUGGCACACAGGGCUCUGUCCUCCACUGAGCCUUCAUCAAGACGGCAGCACUGGGUAAUUUCCUAGAACCAAAGCUUUUCUUGAACCUUUAUGUGAGGGUGAAAGGCACUCAGCAGUCUCCUGGGUUGAUAAUGGAUGGUAUUGAGAAGCAAAUAUCCCAGAUCCAAGAGCUCUGAUCAGGAUCUCAGCAAACUCUGCAGCCAGCAGGGGUGAGGAGCAGGCUGGGGGCUCCCCACAGGCACCUCAAGGUCUGAGGGCAUCUCCAGACAGCUUAACCAGAGCAGCUCAACUGGAAAUGGCUUCUUCAUCAUCACUUAUUUCCUCUAAGGUUAUUUUUGCUAUUUUUAGGAAGACUCCAGUGCUCGCCAGCUGCCCUGACUGCCCCAGCAAAGCUCAAUGAACACUUUUCCACUCCUGUUGCCUCCCCAUGCUAAAUACUAUCGCUGUUCUCAGACUUUAUGGCCAUGGAGUUGUUCCUCUACAAACACCACCACUCAUGGCCCUACCAUUACACUUUUGGCAGGAACACGUUAGGUUUUUAUGGGAAUUAAAAAGCACGAGUGAGAGAGAGAACCUGAACCAAAGACAACAUAAAGGGCCUUAUUUCUUUGGGUAGAAGCCCAACAAUGCUAUUAAAUAACUCAAAGCAGAACGGAAAGCUCUCUCAAAUAUGCAAAGCUGAGAGACACCAGCAGUUACUUGGUGCUCCAUGGAGAAAGGAAAAUAUUCCAAGAGGAGAUUGCUGUAAGAGGGGAAUGGCUGCUGCUGAGCGCUGACCCCGCCGGUCGCACUAGGACAGAGAGCUGGAGCUGAGUUGGGGUCUGUUUGUCCAAGAGCAGCUGUGUUUGUGGCUCCUCUUUCCUCCAGCCCUGUGUAACAGCUUUGCUGUGCUGCCUGAGAGAAAACCCCACUGAGGAGGAAUCCCUGGGAGCUGCGCCCAGGGCACCUGCUCCAGGACAGCCCCAGCUCUGUCUGCGGUGUGGGGAGCUGAGGGCACCCAGCUCUUUCUCCUAGAUGGAGAUGCCAGCGCCCCAAAGGAUCAGAAAUAAUUUCUGAAGGUAAAAAAAGACUUAGGAAGUGAGUUAAACCUGAAUGUUCAUUUGAUCCAGGUCCUGCUUAGCCGUGGUGGCUGCGCUGUGCUGGCUCCCUACAGCUCCGAGGCAGAGGAGCCUGGCGCGGGGCUGGAAUAGCUGUGAAAUUCUGAGAAGUUUGGGGUUGGUUCCAAACUUUAUCACUGGCCAGACCAGUGGCUUUGAUGUGAAAUCCCAAACUCUGCAAGCAUCUGACUCUGAGCAUCGAGGGCUGGUCGUGCUGCCAAUAUCAGGCAUGUGAGCUCUGAAAUAACAGCACAUGCUGGGAGCCAUGGAAGCAGUGGGGACCUUUUCUCUCUGUUUUAGAGCUGAUUCAGACUUCACUACACAGCACUUGUUUGCAUGACAAAGGUGGUGUUGAUGGGAACGUGGGGGAUUCCUAAUGGUCCGAAAGGUUUUUUUGUGUCAGAAUUGCCAGGAACUUCUGUGUUUUGUUUUUUUUUAUGGCUCCUGUGGCACAAAUUUAGUGGCCAGCAAAGGCUCAACCCAGAGGCAGCCAGCUAAGGCGAGCCUUUUUUCCUUAGGUACAAAAUACCUGGCUACUACACGGAGGAAAGCCAAAGUAUCUCAGCUACUGGGUUAAAACCAGAUUGGAUUGAUUCAAAUACAUCAAAAUUGUCCUUGGCUUUGGACACAAUCCUUUAUGUAGGCUUGGAAAGAAAUGUUCUGCAUGGCCUCUGAGUGGCCAGGGUACUGAAAAGUGCAGUUAAUCACAAUUGUCAUUUAGAUAUCAGCUAAAGAUCACACAGAGAACUCCAGAGAGAUGAAAAGCUGCUAAACCCAGGAGUCUCCUGGGGUUUUGCCCAACUUCAGUUAAUGAGAUCAGUGUCUCCUGAACCUGGCUCCGGACGUGUGACUCAGCUGGGAUCAGACAGCAUCACCUCCUGGUGGGCUCCUUUCCCACUCCCACUGCUGACUGCAGUCACCUGAACAGAACAGUCACUUCCCAGGCAGCUCAGAUGCUCCAUAUAGGAAUGGAAAGCAUUUACAACAGGUAGAAUAUUUUUAAGGAAUUGAGGCUCUGAAUUGCCUCUCUGGGGAUUCCUGUGGGCUUUGGGGUGAUCUGAGAACUACCUGGGAUAAACAUCUCUCAGAUACAAAGGGCUUUUAUUCAUCAUAAGUUUUAGAGAACCACUGUGUGGGAUGGAUUUCCUCAUCCAGGAAAGGAUUAGAGACCAGGCAGAGGUUUCCUCAUGCUCUGGCUGCUGCAGGAUCAGCUCGGUGGGUCUGGGGUUAUCAUCAGCAUGGGCAGCCUGCAAGGGCUGCCUCCCCCCCCGGGGGCUGGCAGUGCAAGGUACAGCUUGAAUUCCUUGGACUGUACAUCCUCUUAGAGGGACUUAAUAAAUUAUUAGGCAAAGCAUAUGAUAAAUAUGCAAUAGAUCGUUCUGUGAGUAUCAGUGGAAUGCAUUGACUCAUUUCUAGUCUUGUUUAUGGCCAGGUGAUUUUAUCUCUAGCGAUGUGAUUAACUGCUUAAUGAAACACUUACCAGCCAGGUUGUACCCUUUGCAAGUGGAAUAUGUUGUAUGAAGUGUGACCAAAAGCAUAGAAAUCAAUUUAA